rnacentral:rRNA from 1 species
GAUAAGCCUGGGAAACCGGGUCUAAUACCGGAUAUGAGCUCCUGCCGCAUGGUGGGGGUUGGAAAGUUUUUCGGUGCAGGAUGAGUCCGCGGCCUAUCAGCUUGUUGGUGGGGUAAUGGCCUACCAAGGCGACGACGGGUAGCCGGCCUGAGAGGGUGAUCGGCCACACUGGGACUGAGACACGGCCCAGACUCCUACGGGAGGCAGCAGUGGGGAAUAUUGCACAAUGGGCGAAAGCCUGAUGCAGCGACGCCGCGUGGGGGAUGACGGUCUUCGGAUUGUAAACUCCUUUCAGUAGGGACGAAGCGAAAGUGACGGUACCUGCAGAAGAAGCACCGGCCAACUACGUGCCAGCAGCCGCGGUAAUACGUAGGGUGCAAGCGUUGUCCGGAAUUACUGGGCGUAAAGAGCUCGUAGGCGGUUUGUCACGUCGUCUGUGAAAUCCUCCAGCUCAACUGGGGGCGUGCAGGCGAUACGGGCAGACUUGAGUACUACAGGGGAGACUGGAAUUCCUGGUGUAGCGGUGAAAUGCGCAGAUAUCAGGAGGAACACCGGUGGCGAAGGCGGGUCUCUGGGUAGUAACUGACGCUGAGGAGCGAA